rnacentral:rRNA from 1 species
ACUGAGGGUAGCGGAGAAAUUCCAAUCGAACCUGGAGAUAGCUGGUUCUCUCCGAAAUAGCUUUAGGGCUAGCCUCAAGUGAUGAUUAUUGGAGGUAGAGCACUGUUUGGACGAGGGGCCCCUCUCGGGUUACCGAAUUCAGACAAACUCCGAAUGCCAAUUAAUUUAACUUGGGAGUCAGAACAUGGGUGAUAAGGUCCGUGUUCGAAAGGGAAACAGCCCAGACCACCAGCUAAGGUCCCAAAAUAUAUGUUAAGUGGAAAAGGAUGUGGCGUUGCCCAGACAACUAGGAUGUUGGCUUAGAAGCAGCCAUCAUUUAAAGAGUGCGUAAUAGCUCACUAGUCGAGUGACACUGCGCCGAAAAUGUACCGGGGCUAAACAUAUUACCGAAGCUGUGGAUUGUCCUUUGGACAAU